UACGAAGGGGGCUAGCGUUGUUCGGAUUUACUGGGCGUAAAGCGCACGUAGGCGGAUUGGUCAGUUAGGGGUGAAAUCCUGGAGCUCAACUCCAGAACUGCCUUCGAUACUGGCGAUCUUGAGUCCGGAAGAGGUGAGUGGAACUCCUAGUGUAGAGGUGGAAUUCGUAGAUAUUAGGAAGAACACCAGUGGCGAAGGCGGCUCACUGGUCCGGUACUGACGCUGAGGUGCGAAAGCGUGGGGAGCAAACAGG
rnacentral:rRNA from 1 species